UCGAGGAAGCGCUUAUCUUGUGCAACAAACAAGCGAGUAAUCCAAAUAUCGAAUUUGAGCAGUACGUGCUGAAUAAUCUCGAGAAGUUUGCAGUAACGCCUGACAUUUUCUUGGCCCAAAGCAGCUACAUGCAAUGGUGGAACGAGUACAAAAAAAGGGUGGGAAAUGACUAUUCCUCACCACUCGCCAAGGUCAUGAAGCGUCACACUUAUACCAAGUAUGCGGAGGGGGUCUCGGUUCUUGCUGAUAUCUAAUGCAGGAUAAUUAAGUUUUAAGCAAGCAAUUAAAUUAAAUAAAGCAAGAUUAGUUAUGUUGUAUUCAGUGGCGGAGCCACGAUUUUAGGUGAGGAGGGGCCUCACAUAAAUGUGAAAAAAAUUAAAUAAUGCAUGCUUGGAGUUGUGAGCUAAUUAUUUUUGAGGCUCUAAAUGUUUUUUCUAUGUCGAAGUUAACCUUCCAUUCUCAAUUCAAUGAAAAUACUGGGGAUACUAUGUUUUUAGACCAUAUUUUAGAAACCACAUAAUGUGACCUCGUUGAUAAUUGGAUUCCUUUUUUGGUGAUUUAAAGAAGUAGUCCAACCAUUAAGUACGAUACAAUCAUGCGGUCACAAAAUAUGGCUCAAGUAGAAGCUAUCUAUAGCAUCACUCCAAGUCAAUAUAGAAUAGAUUGGGAAUUUCCUAACAAAAAAUGAGAAUUAUGGAUUGGGAAUUUGGUGAACAAAAUAUGAAAUUUUAAAAAUUUAGUAAAAAGUUAAAGAGAACAAAGAUAAAAUAUAUAAAUUUCAAGAAGCGGAGAAGAAGAAACUCAAAGUUUAUUAUUCUUCAGUUGGCAAUGUAAAAGAAUAUUUUUUUGAUAAAACUAAACUAGACUUUAGAUUUUAAUUUUAAGAGCUAUUGAUUUGUUUAUAAAAUAAGAUUGUAAAUUUAUUUUUAGGACGAGUUUUGUUGGGAUUGAAAAGAAAAAGAGACUUCUUAUUUUAACUAUUAGUGAAUAGCAAUUAAGAGUUUUGUGUAAACUAAAAGAAGUAUAAUAUUAAGUUUAUCCAAAUAUAAUACAUAAUUAUAUAGAAAAGUUAGUUGGGGGGUAGGCCUUGGCCUAUGGUGUGGCCUUAGAGUGCCUCCGCCCCUGGCUGUAUUGCUCCUGAUCUUCAUAAAGAAAGGUGUGCAGUACUUGCCGGACUUUUUGGCGCUACAACUUUUGAAUAUUUUUGUUUGUGGUUUCGUUUUGUUUUGGGCUCUAGCAUCUAGAUCUCUUUGUUCAAAGUAUAAGAAUGUGUGGGGGUAUUGUUUCAAUUAUGAUGUUGUAAUUUCCACUUCAUAAAGCAAUGACACUCGUUGCAUUUCGAUUUCACUAAGUAUGAGGCUUAUCCUAAUUUCAGUCUUUCAGCACAUUGCUACUAGUGAAGUUUAAAUAUUUGGUAACUGCUUAUGAUUCUUUCUUUUAUCAAUUUUUAUGUGUUAAUGUAGAUGCUUCUAAUGAGUUGAUAUUCUACUGUUUAUUUUACCUUAUUCUUAGCUAUAAUUUAUUGAUUAUUUUGGUUGAAUUUUGAUACUUUGUUCUAUAUUUCAAUUACAGGACAUGUGAAUCUACUUUGGGCAUAAAGUGAUCAAACGAAGGAAUUUUGGAGUAAUUUCAAUUGGAAUAGAUUCGUGAGUCUUUCAAGAUGAUUGUGUCAAAAUUCUAGAAUUUAAUUCCAAGCCGUUUGACCGUGGCAAAGAAAAGAAGACUCAGCGUGCAACUUUCCCAAUUGUUUUAUGGUUAUUCGUAACUAAUUUCCGUUUACUAGAACAAGAUUACUAGCCUUAGCAUGAAUAUGUUGUAAUGACCCGUCUCAGAUUGUAUGAAACACAGAUCGUCGAGAACAAUUUUGUAAUUUCACGUUUGGAAGAUAUUUGUAUUCUUGAGUUUAGUGGACCUUAUUUUGUGAGUCACGAGGCCCACAUGUUUCCCUUGUCUCCCGGCUGCCUCUCUUCCCUCUCCCCGUCACUCUCUUUCCCUCCCUUCACUCUCUCUAAAACUCUCUUCUCUCAUCUGUCUCUCUAACCUUCCUUCUCCGGGAAAGCACACAAACACAACAACAACAGCAGCAGCUGCACAACACCAUCCCUCACCCUCUAUGCGAACCUCACGAACCCAAAAACGGUGAGCGGACUUUUCCCCAGUUUUCCGGCGAGACGCAUUUUUUGGCCAUAUCCGGCCAGCUUUUGGCUUCUAAAUAGGUAAAAUCGUAUUUCUCUCCUCUUAAGCUUCGUUUUGACAUAUUAUGGGUCCGAUUUGACUAAGAAAUGAGGAAGUUAUAACCUUUUAAAGUUUACCUAGUUUCCGGCGACCCCCACGGCUUUCAAGUCAUUUUCCGGCUAAACCACGGCUAUUUAGCCGUGGAGAAAGGUACCAUUCUCUUCAUUUCGUCAAUAAGUAUGAUUUUCAUCUAUGAAUCACUUGAUUUCGUCGAGUAUUGAAGAAGUUAUGGACGUUUAAAGUUUACUCAGUUUCCGGCGUGUUCCCCCGUUUUUCUGCGGACCAGUCAGUUUUCAGGCUAUUUUCCGGCCAUCUCCGGCAACCUUUGAACUUCCAAAUAGGUAUAUUCUUGUUCUACACUUUCCUAGUUUCGUUUUGAUAUAUUAUGAGUUCGUCGCGAAACAUUUAAGAUGACGGAAUUAGGUCGGGCAACAGAGCCUGACCCGAUGAACAUGACGACGAAAGUCCGUCAGGUAAGGCUGCGUUGACCAUAUUGUAUUGCUACUAGGUGAAUUCGGACAAAAAAACAGAAAGCUCAACGGCCAUUCCCUAGCUCAGAUUAACUCGUUAGAUUUCUUUGUAAAUUUCUUUGUAUUCUUCCACGAAUGUUUAGUUGCUAAAAUCAAAUCAUGUAUUAAAUUACUCUGGAAUUUUCGUAACGUAAGAACAAGCUGGAAGCAACAUGGAAUAAAUAAUUAUUCUGAACUUUAACACGUAAACGUAGAUAAGAAGGCCAGAGGAAAAGCAUCGGGGCAAAGGUCCAACUCCCUCUCCUCCGGGAACCUUCCAGGAACAAGAUCCGUAGACGACGACGUAGACUUUCCUGUGCAUUGUCGACUUGGCGGGAAAUUCCCUCGUGGAACUUGGUGGAACAAUGACGUCCAUAACAAUAGUAAUGAUAGGACUUUCCUCUUCUAUAUAAAGAAAGACACUGAGCAUUCUGGUUUCCAAAUCUCUCAAUCUACUGUGUUUUUAAGCAGAUCGCCAGAAGCUUGAAGAUGAACAACCAGUAAGUUAACUUCAAACUCCUCCGAUCCUUGUUCUUCUUUGAAUCCUUUGUCAUUGAUUUUCCUUAUGGUUUGUUAGGCCUAAGUAUGAUUAUGCUCAAUAUAGUUUGGCAAAUUUCCACUUCAUCCAUGUGUGUCGAUUGUCGUGAUUAAGCAGACAUGUCUAGGACGGCUUCUGGAAUGGCUACAAGUAUUUUGCAUGAAACUUCUUAGGGUUAAUUUUGGGGAAAAAAUUUACCGAGUAGGAUUAUCUCCCCUCCUGUUCUCGUCCAUUCCUCUCACACAUUGCUUUUUGUUUUAUUGUCUUUAUAAAAAAAAAUUAAUAUAAGAUGUUAACGUGGUUUAACCGUGACCGUUGAAAUAGAAGGGAAGAGAAGGGAAGGAGAUGAGGAUCAGGAGGGGGGAGCCUCCAAAACCUACAAAGCGCGUCUAGAUAGUAGAAGCUUUUUUUAAGAAGAAUUAAAAAUUGGGUCCUUCGCUUUUUUUAAGGAUUGGGUCCUUCGCAUUUACCCAACACCAAAUUUUGUUCCCUCAACAAAAAAAAAAAUUGAGAAGAAUUAAAAAUUUUCUCACAAAGUUAAAAUAAAAUAAUGUUUUACCAAUAAAAUAAAAUAAAUAAAUACGAAUUAGCAUAUAAAGUACAUUACUUGAAUUGGAGCAUUUUAGUCAUCACAUCGAUUUUCAUUCUGAUUCAUGUGAGUUAGUAAACAGUUUAUAUUGUUCAGUACUAUUCUUACUCUUAUUUUUUAAAAUUUUAGUAAACAGUUUCAAUAUGAAUCUAAUUCUAACAUAUUCCAAACUCUUCAAUUCAAUUUUUUCUUCUUUUGAAUAUGGAAUAGUAAACGACCCAUUAAAUUUUUAUCCCAAAUAUAAUCAAAAGUAGUUUUGAUUGUUCCACUGACAUUUUUAACUAUUUCAACAGCUUUCCCUCUGUUUAACUUUGCUUCAAUUUUUUGUUGGUGGACAGAAUUAGCAGUGCGGGGCUUGAACUAGCAAAUGUGCUGGUGACUUCUCCUCCCCUGCACCAGUCAUGGGACGCGGUUCAAAAGCAAAAGCUCCAGACAGCUGCUGAUCCGAAUGCACAAAUGACCUUAUACAUUAGUGAAACCAAGCACUCAAACACCACCAUCAUAUCUUUUCUUACUGCACCAGUAGAGGUUCAAGAUCCACAAGCGAUGAUUUCAUCGACGACUCUCAAGGACACAAAUUUUCUUCUCUUUGAGUUUUUGUGCAGCCAAAAAACACCAAGUUACUUCGUCAAUGAAUUGGCAAUCAAAUUCUUCGCCUUGAGUCACACCAACCUCGAUCUUUUGCGAACAAAGGUGUGUAAUGUUAUCUCUGAUAAUAUUUAAAAAAAAAGUUUCUUCGCAUACGAGAAAUCCUUAUAUAAGAACUUGUUCAUUCAUUGCCUACUUAAAAAUAGACAUAGAGACGGAAGAAAGGACGAAUCAAAUAGUUUAUUUUUUUUUUCCCAAUUUUUGUCUAUUCUUCACCUACUGAAUCAAACUUUUUCAUUGCUUUGACGACUAUUAAUUUUAGUGAGAAAUGGUUAGAAAUGAUAUUUAUAAUGUUAGAUUACUUUAUACUUAAUUAGUUUGGCUUCUUUGACAACUCUUAAUAUUAAUAAGAAACACUUACAAACACCUCAUUGUUAGAGUUAUAAGAGCCGAAUGUCAUAAAAUUGAUUCUAUUUUGUUUUGUUGUUGUUCAAAAUGGAGUUGAAUGUUUUUUUUUUUUUACCACGAAUGUAUUUCGAGGAACUUAUUUGUAAAGACGUCUCCGAAUUAAUUAUAUAGCAGUUCAGUAAUUGACCAACUUAAUGUAAUAUUUCAGCUGGUAGAAAGCAGCAAUUCCAACUCAUCGAUACUUAUCACUGGACAUUCUUUUGGAGGCUGUGUGGCUACCCUUUUCACCUUAUGGCUGCUACAAAGCCUCAACUUGUCGAAAGCGAAGCGUCCCCUUUGCAUCACUUUCGGUUCACCCUUGACCGGUGACGAACAACUCCGACAAUGUGUGUUGCAAUUCUCAACAUGGAGUUCUUGCUUCUUGAAUGUAGCCUCUAUCAACGAUCCUGUACCUAAAGCCUUCCUAACCGCUUCGCAAGCGAGUGAUUACAAGCCUUUCGGAACAUUCCUAUUGUGCUCCGCUUCGGGUGGUUCUUGCUUUGAGGACCCAGAUGCCAUUUUGCAACUGUUGGUGGAAACCGGCUCUCAGAGUGCUCAAAUUCAAGGUCCGAAUUUGGGGUUUCAGUAUUUCGAUUACGGACAGAUUUUGAGUGAUCUCAAGCUGAAGGCAUUUUCUAGAGAUGUCUUUGAGUUGGUUGAAGAGGAUAGAGUUCCACUUAAAGCUGGAAUUAAAACACAAUUGGCAGCAAUAUUUGGAGUUAAUAGCUCACAGGUAUCCAACUUUCCACACAAAUAUUUGAUUUGAUGAUGAUUCAGAGAAUGGUUUCUGCACAAACCUGUUUAUUUUUGUCUCUUGAUUUUCUUUUACUUUAUUUAAUCCGAAGAUUGGAAAUAAACACAGGUGUGCGGGGGGCAAUCACAUCCCUUGUUUUUACUUCUACUAACUUUUUUCGCAAAUCAUUUUGUAAGUCAUUGCAGCAGCAGCAACCCGACAUAAAUUUCGGCAAUCUGAUGCAAAAGAUGGAAACUCAAGAACGUAACCACGCAAUCCAGAAGACGCAGGUUUACAGUUCUUUCUGGAAAUUGAAUGAGAUUAAAAAGUACAUGGCCUACAUGGAAGGGUACAAGAAGGAGUCCAAAGAGAUGGGAAUUGGAUACUAUGACAGGUACAGAAACAAGCGUUGCUUGGGUGACAUUAAUGCCGAAGAGUACAAGAAGAAGCUCUCUAAUUACUGGGAGGACACGGUUGCAGAAGUUGAGAGCAAUCCCCAGAAAGAAGGAGCCGCAAUGCGUACUCGUUUCCUAUUUGGUGGAACGAAUUACAGAAGGAUGAUCGAACCGCUUCACAUUGCAGAGUACUACAAGGAAGGUGGAAAAGAUUACAUAAAGGAAAGGCCUCGACAUUUCGUUCUGUUGGAGCAAUGGUUCAAUGAAGACGCGGAAAAGAAGAAGCCAGAGAGGGAGCAGAAAGAAAAGGAGAACCCCCAACUGCGUGGCGAAAGCAAGUCGAACUCAAAAGCGAAGAAUGUGGCUUCAAGUCUGAAUGAUGAUUCUUGUUUUUGGGUGCAUGUCGAGGAAGCGCAUAUCUUAUGCAAUGAACAAGCGAGUAAUCCAAAUGCCAAGCAAAUGCUGAUGGAAUUUGAGCAGUACGUGCUGAAUAAUCUCGAGAAGUUUGCAGUGACGCCUGAUAUUUUCUUGGCCCAAAGCAGCUACAUGCAAUGGUGGAACGAGUACGAAAAAAGGGUGGGACAUGACUAUUCCUCACCACUCGCCAAGGUCAUGAAGCGUCACACUUACACCAAAUAUGCGGAGGGGGUCUCGGUUCUUGCUGAUAUAUAAUGCAAGAUAAUUAAAUUUUAAGCAAGCAAUUAAUUAAAUAAAGCAAGAUUAGUUAUGCUGUAUUGCUCAUGAUCUUCAUAUGGAAAAGUGUGCAGUACUUGCCAGACUUGUUGGCGCUACUACUUUUGAAUAUUUUUGUUUGUGGUUUCGUUUUGUUUUUUGGGCUCUAGCAUCUAUCUCUCUUUGUUUAAAGUAUAAGAAUGUGUGGGGGUAUUGUUUCAAUUAUGAUGUUGUAAUUUCCACUUCAUAAAUUAAUGAAACUCAUUGCAUUUCGAUUUCACUUAGUGUGAGGCCUACUCUAUUUUCAGUCUUUCAGCACAUUGCUAUUAGUGAUUUUUAAAUAUUACUCUAUUUUCAAUCUUUCAGCACAUUGCUAUUAGUGAUUUUUAAAUAUUUGGUAUCUGCUUAUGAUUUUUUCUUUUAUCAAUUUGUAUGUGUUAAUGUAGAUGUUUUUGCUGAGUCGAUUUUAAACUAUUAUUUUAUCUUAUUUUUAGUUAUAAUUUAUUGAUUAUUUUAGUUGAAUAUUGAUACUUUAUUCUAUAUUUUAAUUAUAUAAUAUGUGAAUCUAUUUUGGACAUAAAACGAUUAAACGAAUGAAUUUUAGAAUAAUUCUAAAUCAUGAAAUUUGGAAUAAUUCUAAAUCAAGUAGAUUCUUGAGUCUUUCCUGUUCGGGAGAUAUUUGUGUUUUUGUCUUUAGUGAACCUUGUGUUGUGAGCCACUAGGGGCACAUGUUUCCCUUGUCUCCCGGUUCUCUCUCUUUUCCCUCUCCCCGUCACUCUCUUUCCCUCCCUUCACUCUCUCCUCUCAAUUCUCUCAUCUUUCUCUCUAACCUCCCCUCUCCGGGAAAGCACACAAACACAACAACAACAGCAGCAACUGCACACAACCAUCCCUCACCCUCUAUGUGAACCCCACGAACCCAAAAAUGGCGAGGAGAUUCUUCCCCAGUUUUCCAGCGAGACCCGUGAGUUUGCAGGCAUUUUCCGGCUAUCUCCGGCGCAGAGAGAGUGAGCAACAUAAAUUUAAAGGACAAUGAUUGUCUGCCCUUCACUUUCGAUGCCUUCCUGUUUUGUAUGAUCACAGUUAGCACGUUAUUAUUUUAUAUUAUUUUUUUUAUAGAUAUAAUAAAACAAAAAUAAAUAAUAAUAUAAAAUAUUAACGUUGUUUAACCGUGAUCACACAAUCAGAAGACACUAGAGGACACCGAAAGUGAAGAGCAGACAAUCGUUCAAAUUUAAAUGAAUGGUUUCGACUUCCCAAGGGGUCAAAGGUGGUAAGUCCGGGCUCCACCUUGGAUUAUGUGAGAAACAUGGAAUGGAGAGUGUUACAGAGUAAUGAAUGGUUUCCACUUUCCAAGGGGUCAAGGGUAGUAUCUGGACUCGACCUUGGAUAAUGUGAGAAACAUGGGGUGUAGUGUUACAUAGAGUAAUUGAUUCGUUUUAAUUUUUUAUGAAGCCAACCACACAUCAGGAUGUUUAUUUUUUAUUUACUUAUCUGUAUUACUAUAUUACUAUAUUAUUAUAUUUCUUUAUUUUUCUCAUAUUUUGUAUUUUAUGUAAUUUUAAAUUAUGAACUUGUUAUACAUGUAUUGUUCUUCAAUACUCCUUAUUAUCGUUAUAUGAUAUAUAUGUUUAAUGUGUUUUUAAACUUUGGAUUUGUUGAAUACUCUUUUUAUAUUUUAUCAUUCUUUUAUUAUCUUAUUUGUAGAUUUCAUUCGAGUAUAAUUUUUUGUAAGUAUCAAUAUGUACUUAUUUACAAAAUAUACAAGAAAUUUAUCUAAAUCCGCCUAAACUGCCUAGACGCCUUCCUAGAUCCCGCUUAGAUGCCUAGGCGCUAAUCAUCAGCCUGUUUUCCGACUAACGCCUAACGUUUUUUGACCUUUAAAAAAACAGAAAGCUCAACCGCCAUUCCCUAUCCCUCAGAUUAACUCGUUAGAUUUCUUUGUAAAUUUCUUUGUACACUUCCGCGAAUGUGUAGUUGCUAAAUUCAAAUCAUGUAUUAAAUUACUCCGGAAUAUUCGUAACGCAAGCUGGAAGCAACAUGGAAUAAAUAAUUAUCUGAACUUUAACACGUAAACGUAGACAAGAGGAACAGAGGCAAAGUAUCGGGGCAAACGUCCAGCCCUCCCUUCUAGGAACAAGGUCAGUUGACAACGACAUAGACCUUCCCGUGCAUUGUCGACUUGGUGGGAACUUUCCUCGUGGGGCCCUUUGGUUGGUCGGGACAAUGAAGUCCAUAAGAAUAAGGACAAUACUUAGGUCCUGACUGCUCAGGAUCAAGUAUACGGACCUCACAACGUGGUACACUAUAAAGAUGACACCUGUCUUUUUGCUUAUCCAAACACCAAACAUGGCUUUCUUUGUUCUAUAUAUGCAAACAUAAACUAUUCUAUUAACCAAACACCAUCCUUCUCUCUCGUUGAAGAAUCCCCAACCUUUAAGAGACAAACCAGCAAGAACCUCCCUCGACCCACCUCGUUCCUCCGCCGCAAACCUACCCCGUGUCCUCUCCACCGUCGAUUCACCCCGUGUCCUCAUCCAACUUCUCUCCUCCGUCAACCGACCGCCGUUCCUCUGUCAACUUCACCGGUAUUCCUCCGUCGGCCCCGCUUCCGCUUCCGCCUCCGCCUCCUCCUUCAACCUCUCUCCUCCAUCGAAGUAGGUCCAUAAGAAUUCAUGUAAGGGAGGGGAUCUUUGUUCUUCGUGUAUAGUGUGACGUCGCUGCACUGAUACAAAUCUGUGAUGGCAUAGGAAAAGACAAGGACGAUGCGGGAUAAGCCCGGGAGCAAAGAGGAAGUGAAAAGGGAUUAUGGGGUGUUUGGAUGCCUAGGUAAUUGGAUAAACAGGGUGUUUGGCUGCAUAGCUUAAACAUAUAAAGUAGUACACGUGUUCUCUUUUAAUUGAGGCAUAUCAAUGGUCAGUGAAAAUUGUCCACUUGUGAGUAUCAAGUAUUAUCUUAAGAGUAACAAUAGCUUUAGAACUGUUUCCUCUUCUCUAUAAAGGACACACCAUUCUGUCUUCCAAAUCUCUCAAUCUACUGUGUUUUUAAGCAGAUCGCCACCAAAAGCUUGAAGAUGAACAACCAGUAAGUUAAUUUCAAACUCUUCCGAUCCUUGUUUUUCUUUGAAUCCUUUGUCAUUGAUUUUUCUUAUGGUUUAUUAGGAUAAUACUUGGCUACUGAAAGAUAAAUAGGAACUCUUAUUUAAAACUCUUAGGGUUUUAAACACAGGAUUUUGUAGUUAUGAUCAUAACCGUUCAUACUAUGAUUCACAUUGUCAAGAUCAUCUCUGUAAAAAAAUAAUUGAUUUUUGUCAGAAGCGAUUUGUAUAGGAUGAUUUAUAAACGGUUUGAUGACUAAACGUCCUUCGGUUUAAUUGAUUUUUGUCAGAAGCGAUUUGUAUAGGAUGAUUUAUAAUAUCAACGUUUCUGAUUAUAAACACGAACUUCUAUAAAUUGAUAACGAAUAAUUUUGAGAAAUUUUACUCAUCUCGUUUAUUAGACCUAAGUAUGAUUCUGCUCAAUUUAGUUUGGCAAAUAUCCACUUCAUCCAUGUGUGUUGAUUGUCGUGAUUAAGCGGAUCAUGUCUAGGACGGCUUCUGGAAUCGCUAUAAGUGUUUUGCAUGAAACUUCUUGGGGUUAAAUUUGGGGGAAAAAACUUACAAAGCGCGUCUAGAUAGUAGAAGCUAUUUUUAAGAAGCAUAUGUGCUAUGUGUAGCUUUAAGAAGAGUUUCCAAGUGCUUUAUUGAGAAACUCUUUGAAUAAAGUAAAAGAAAAAUGCUUAUGAGUAAAGUAAAAGAUAAGUGCUUAUGAGUAAAGUAUCUCGAGGCAAUAUUUAAUAAGUGUUCAUAUGCUUUAACAAAGUGGAAUUCAUUCCUACUAGUCUUCUGCUAAACUGACCUUAGGAUGAUUUAUAAUAUCAACGAUUCUGAUUAUAAACACGAACUUCUAUAAAUUGAUAACGAAUAAUUUUGAGAAAUUUUGAGUAUGGGUUUCUACUCAUCUCGAUUAUUAGACCUAAGUAUGAUUCUGCUCAAUUUAGUUUGGCAAAUAUCCACUUCAUCCAUGUGUGUUGAUUGUCGUGAUUAAGCGGAUGAUGUCUAGGACGGCUUCUAGAACCGCUAUAAGUGUUUUGCAUGAAACUUCUUGGGAUUAAAUUUGGAGGAAAAAACUUACAAAGCGCGUCUAGAUAGUAGAAGCUAUUUUUAAGAAGCAUAUGUGCUAUGUGUAGCUUUAAGAAGAGUUUCCAAGUUUCCAAGUUUCCAAGUGCUUUAUUGAGAAACUCUUUGAAUAAGUAAAAGAAAAAUGCUUAUGAGUAAAGUAAAAGAUAAGUGCUUAUGAGUAAAGUAUCUCGAGGCAAUAUUUAGUAAGUGUUCAUAUGCUUUAACAAAGUGGAAUUCAUUCUUACAAGUCUUCUGCUAAACUGACCUUAUUAGAAGCACAAUGAAAUUUUAUUGAAAAUGCUUUUAUGAUUCGUACAUACUUUUAUGAUACGUUUACGCAUGGGUAAUCGAAAUGGAAAAGUGGAAUUGAAUACGUGAAACAGUUUUAACAUGAAUCUGAUUCUACCAUAUUCCAACUCUUCAAUUCAAUUUCUUUUAUUUUGAAUACGGAAUAGUAAACAGCCUAUUAAAUUUUUCUGCCAAAUAUAAUCAAAAGUACUUUUGAUUGUUCUAAUGACAUUUUUAACUAUUUCAAAAGCAUUCCCUCCAUUUAACUUUGCUUCAAUUUUUUGUUGGUGAUGGACAGAAUUAGCAGUGCGGGGCUUGAACUAGCAAAUUUGCUGGUGACUUCUCCUCCCCUGCACCAGUCAUGGGACGCGGUUCAGAAGCAAAAGCUCCAGACAGCUGCUGAUCCGAAUGCACAAAUGGCCUUAUACAUUAGUGAAACCAAGCACUCAAACACCACCAUCAUAUCUUUUCUUACUUCACCAGUCAAGGUUCAAGAUCCACAAGCGAUGAUUUCAUCGAAGACUCUCAAGGACACAAAUUUUCUUCUCUUUGAGUUUUUGUGCAGCAAAAAAACCCCAAGUUUCUCCGUCAAUGAAUUGACAAUCAACUUCUUCGCGUUGAAUCACAUCAACCUCGACCUUCUGCGAACAAAGGUAUGUACUGUUAUCUCAAAUAAUUUUUUCCAAUUUUUGUCUAUUCUUCUCCUACUGAAUCAAACUUUUUCAUCGCUUUGACGACUAUUAAUUUUAGUGAGAAACGGUUCGAAAUGAUAUUUAUAAUGAUAGAUUACUUUCUACUUAAUUAGUUUGGCUUCUUUGACAACUCUUAAUAUUAGUGAGAAACACUUACAAACACCUCAUUAUUAGUGUUAUAAGAGCCGAAUGACGUAAAAUCGAUUCUAUUUUGUUUUGUUGUUGUUCAAAAUGGUGUUGAAUGUUAUUUUUUUUACCACGAAGGAACUUAUUUGUAAAAGACGUCUCCGAAUUAAUUAUAUAGCUAGCAGUUCAGUAAUUGACUAACUUCAUGCAAUAUUUCAGCUGGUAGAAAGCAGCAAUUCCAACUCAUCGAUACUUAUCACUGGACAUUCUUUUGGAGGCUGUGUAGCUACCCUUUUCACCUUAUGGCUGCUACAAAGCCUCAACUUGUCGAAAGCGAAGCGUCCCCUUUGCAUCACUUUUGGUUCACCCUUGACCGGUGACGAACAACUCCAACAAUGUGUGUUGCAAUUCUCAACUUGGAGUUCUUGCUUCUUGAAUGUAGCCUCUAUCAACGAUCCUGUACCUAAAGCCUUCCUAACAGCUUCGCAAGCAAGCAAUUACAAGCCUUUUGGAACAUUCCUAUUGUGCUCCGCUUCGGGUGGUUCUUGCUUUGAUGACCCUGAUGCCAUUUUGCAACUGUUGGUGGACACCGGCUCUCAGAGUGCUCAAAUUCAAGGUCCGAAUUUGGGGUUUCAGUAUUUUGAUUACGGACAGAUUUUGAGUGAUCUCAAGCUGAAGGCGUUUUCAAGAGAUGUCUUUGAGUUGGUUGAAGAGGAUAGAGUUCCACUUAAAGCUGGAAUUAAAACACAAUUGGCAGCAAUAUUUGGAGUUAAUAGCUCACAGGUAUCCAACUUUCCACACAAAUAUUUGAUUUGAUGAUGAUUCAGAGAAUGGUUUCUGCACAAACCUGUUUAUUUUUGUCUCUUGAUUUUCUGUUACUUUAUUUAAUCCGAAGAUUGGAAAUAAACACGGGUGUGCUGGGGGCAAUCACAUUCCAUGUUUUUUUCGACCUAUAUAUAUUUUUACUUCUACUAACUUUUUUCGCAAAUCAUUUUGUAAAAGUCAUUGCAGCAGCAACAACCCGACAUAAAUUUCGGCAAUCUGAUGCAAAAGAUGGAAACUCAAGAACGUAACCACGCAAUCCAGAAGACGCAGGUUUACAGUUCUUUCUGGAAAUUGAAUGAGAUUAAAAAGUACAUGGCCUACAUGGAAGGGUACAAGAAGGAGUCCAAAGAGAUGGGAAUUGGAUACUAUGACAGGUACAGAAACAAGCGUUGCUUGGGUGACAUUAAUGCCGAAGAGUACAAGAAGAAGCUCUCGAAUUACUGGGAGGACACUGUUGCGGAAGUUGAGAGCAAUCCCCAGAAAGAAGGAGCCACAAUGCGUACUCGUUUCCUAUUUGGUGGAACGAAUUACAGAAGGAUGAUCGAACCGCUUCACAUUGCAGAGUACUACAAGGAAGGUGGAAAAGAUUACAUAAAGGAAAGGCCUCGACAUUUCGUUCUGUUGGAGCAAUGGUUCAAUGAAGACGCGGAAAAGCAGAAGCCAGAGAGAGGGCAGAAAGAAAAGGAGAACCCCCAACUGCGUGGCGAAAGCAAGUCGAACUCAAAAGCGAAGAAUGUGGCUUCAAGUCUGAAUGAUGAUUCUUGUUUUUGGGUGCAUGUCGAGGAAGCGCAUAUCUUAUGCAAUGAACAAGCGAGUAAUCCAAAUGCCAAGCAAAUGCUGAUGGAAUUUGAGCAGUACGUGCUGAAUAAUCUCGAGAAGUUUGCAGUGACACCUGAUAUUUUCUUGGCCCAAAGCAGCUACAUGCAAUGGUGGAACGAGUACGAAAAAUGGAUGGGAAAUGACUAUUCCUCACCACUCGCCAAGGUCAUGAAGCGUCACACUUAUACCAAGUAUGCGGAGGGGGUCUCGGUUCUUGCCGAUAUAUAAUCCAAGAUAAUUAAGUUUUAAGCAAGUAAUUAAAUCAGAUAAAGCAAGAUUAGUUAUGCUGUAUUGCUCAUGAUCUUCAUAUAGAAAGUUGUGCAGUACUUGUAGGGCUUGUUGGUGCUACUACUCUCGAAUAUUUUUGUUUGUGUUUUCAUUUUGUUUUGGGCUCUACCUCUCUUGUACAAAGAAAAAGAAUGUGUGGGGGGUAUUGUUUAAUUACGAUGUUAUAAUUUCCACUUCAUCGUUGCAUUUUGAUUUCAUGUGAGGGCUAUCCUAAUCAGUAAUUGGAAUAAGUUAAGACUUGCGAUAAUCAUAGUUUAUGUUGUAUUAAUCUUGCUUAUGAAUCUAUAAAGUGCACAACUUAGUCUAGUUUCUUUGGCGUUUUUGCACAAAAUGUACACAAACUUCUAAUUUCUUUGGCUUUUUCACACAAUACGUAAUGUGUUAUCACGGAACAAAAAGAUAUAUACGUCAAGAUAGAUAGGCCCAUGACACAAUACUUAUAUUACAACUACAUAUAAGAGACUUGUUGAAUACUUAAGAGCAAGUCCACCCCUAAAAAUUUAGCGCCAGCACCCGUAUUUAUCCACUCAAGUGAACAGUAAUAUACUCCAGUGAACAAUAAUAGCCAAAGCAUCUCCACCCCUAACAAAAAAUAGCUUAGUCAAUUUUAUUAAAAUAUUAUUAUUUUUUAUUAUAAAAUAUUAUUAUUUUUAUUAUAAAAUAAUAAAAAUAAUAAUUUUAUUAAAAAAAAAAGAAGGAAAAGUCAGGAACCUCCACGGUUCUACUAGAACUCUCUAUACUCUCCCUCUACAUCCCCAAACGCCAAAUGCCACUCCUGACGCUAACUCGCUUCAACCUCCCUCUACAUCUCUCUCUCUCUCUCUCUGUUGGGUGGAGCUCUGCAAAAAUCCACCACCAUGUGCAAUGAUAAUCCCACCGGAUUCCAACUUUCCUUCCGGUUCACAAUCCCCAGUCUUUAUUCCUCCACAAUAUUUCAACCAUUUUGCCUAUCAAAUUCCCUAUCAAUCCAACCUCACUAACCCAAUUUGAUCUUUUCCUCAAUCGAUGGUUCCCUCGGCAGUAGUCGCCGCGGAUCCAGCCUAUCACCUACCCGACACCGACCCGUAUGACAAUUCGGGUUGGUACCCGUGGACCCGUGUUGGAUUUCGAGGUCAGACGCCUUUUGGUGAAGGCCUCGAAAUCUCCCACUGCCCCAGAAUCAACCUCAGCCCUUUGCGACGUGUUGAUCAUGUGGGAGGUUGAUGGCCCGACAUGUGGGUCUGUCGAUUUUAGGCCGGUCUCUUGCCUGGCUUGGGCUGGGUGUCGAUCAAAAUGCUCGGCUGGAGUGGAUAGCCUGGGUGUCGGGCUGGUUUUUUGGCUGGGUGCUGGCCUAUCAGUUCCCCGGUGGAACUGCUCUAAAGGAACACACAUUAUGUACGUGUUCUCAUGUUUUCAUUAUGUUCCAAUAACUCAUAAUAUAUAUAUCAUUCCGUUUUGUAAUUUAUGAUGAAAUCAUAUAUAUUUUAAGUAUAAACAAACACUUAUUUACACGAAAUAAUAAUAGAUUUAAUUAAAUCCGCCUAGUCUGCCUAGCUACCUGGACGCUAGGUCUCAGCCCACCGCUCGACUAAUCUGCGUUAACCAUAUUGUGUAGCUAGUCGGUGAAUUCAGACAAAAAAAACAGAAAGCUCAACGGCCAUUCCCUAUCCCUCAGAUUAACUCGUUAGAUUUCUUUGUAAAUUUCUUUGUAUUCUUCCGCGAAUGUUUAGUUGCUAAAAUCAAAUCAUGUAUUAAAUUACUCUGAAAUUUUCGUUACGGAUGAACAAGCUGGAAGCAACCGGGAAUGAAUAAUUAUCUGAACUUCAACACGUAAACGUAGAUAAGAAGACCGGAGGCAAAGCAUCGAGGCAAAAGGUCCAGCCCUCCCUCCUCCGGGAACCUUCCAGGAACAAGAUCCGUUAAUAUACUUUCCUGUGCAUUGUCGACUUGGCGGGAAAUUCCCUCGUGGGGACCUUUGAGACAAUGAAGUCCAUAAGAAUAAUAAUAGCUUUAGAACUGUUUCCUCUUCUAUAGAAAGGACACUGACCGUUCUGUUUUCCAAAUCUCUCAAUCUACUGUGUUUUUAAGCAGAUCGCCAAAAGCUUGAAGAUGAACAACCAGUAAGUUAACUUCAAACUCCUCCGAUCCUUGUUUUUCUUUGAAUCCUUUGUCAUUGAUUUUUCUUAUGGUUUAUUAGACCUAAUUAUGAUUCUGCUCAAUGUAGUUUGGCAAAUUUCCACUUCAUCCAUGUGUGUCGAUUGUCGUGAUUAAGCGGACAUGUCUAAGACGGCUUCUGGAAUGGCUAUAAGUGUUUUGCAUGAAACUUCUUAGGGUUAAUUUUGGGGGAAAAAACUUACAAAGCGUGUGUAGAUAGUAGAAGCUUUUUUUAAGAAGCAUAUGCGCUGUGUAGCUUCAAGAAGCAUUUCCAAGUUUCCAGAAACACUUGAGUAAAGUAAAACAAAAACGCUUAUGAGUAAAGUAAAAGAUAAGUGCUUAUGAGUAAAGUUUCUCGCGGAGGCAAUAUUUAAUAAAUGUUAAUAUGGUUUAACAAAGUGGAAUUUCAUUCUUACAAGUCUGACCUUAUUAGAAGCAUAAUUAAUUUUUAUAGAAAAUGCUUUUAUGAUUCGUACACACUUUUGUGACACGUUUUUAUUUAUUUUUUAUUUAUAAAGAAACGAUAUUAUCUACGCUAAAAGGACAGGGAUGAGCUUAACCUCAUAAUUGGCUAUCAAUAAUGUAGUUCAAAUUCGACUUUAACAAGAAUCGAACCUAAGACCUCUCACUUACAAGUAAAGAGGAAUACCACUAGACCGUAGUACUAAGUGACACUUCUAUGACACGUUUACGCAAGGGUAAUCGAAAUGAAAAAGCAUAAUUGAAUUUCAAUUACGGAGUACUCCAGUAUUUAUCAAAUAUUGUAAUCCAACUCCAAAAUUUGGAAAAAUUCAGUUAUCUACAAUUUUAUGGAAAUUAAAUUCCGGAUUAUUGGGGGAAUCGAAAUAAAUUGUUUCAAACCAUUAUACUCUCAUUUAUUUCCAAAAUUUUAAGAUUGUCCUUCGCAUUUACCCAACACCAAAUUUUGUUCCCUCAACAAAAAAAAAUGAAAAAUGAAAAGAAUUACAGUUUUUCUCACAAAGUUAAAAUAAAAAAAUGUUUUACCAAUAAAAUAAAAUAAAUAAAUAAAAAUUAGCAUAUAAAGUACAUUACUAGAAUUGAAGCAUUUUAGUAAUCACAUCGAUUUUCAUUCUGAUUCAUGUGAGUUUAUAAACAGUUUCUAUGGUUUAGUACUAUUUCUAAUUUGAUUUCUAAAAAUUUUAGUAAACAAUUUCAACAUGAAUUUGAUUCUAUCAUAUUCCAACUCUUCAAUUCAAUGCCUCAUCAACUCAAUUCCUUUAUUCUGAAUACGAAAUAGUAAACAACCUAUUAAAUUUUUCUGCCAAAUAUAAUCAAAAGUACUUUUGAUUGUUCCACUGACAUUUUUAACGACUUCAAAAGCAUUCCCUCCAUUUAACUUUGCUUCAAUUUUUUGUUGGUGAUGGACAGAAUUAGCAGUGCGGGGCUUGAACUAGCAAAUUUGUUGGUGACUUCUCCUCCCCUGCACCAGUCAUGGGACACAGUUCAGAAGCAAAAGCUCCAAACAGCUGCUGAUCCGAAUGCACAAAUGGCCUUCUACAUUAGUGAAACCAAGCACUCAAACACCACCAUCGUAUCUUUCUUACUUCUGUUGGAAAUUUAAGUAGUUUGAAUAGAAAUUUCUUUGUCCCACAUUGGCCAUUUCCAAAAGAUUUUAUCACUCUAUAAGGCUUUGUUCUGUAUAGAAAGUGAUUGGAGUAAUAGGCCUAGAGACUAAAAUUGGGCUCACCCUUAGGGUUGGGCUUUGGGGUGUACUAAUUAAUUGGUAAUUAAUAUAUAUUUAAUUGUCAAAAGAUGGGCCUUGGGCUCUAAUAAUUAAAUUAAUUAAUUAAUUUUAAUUUCGAAUUUAAAUUAAUUAAUUAUUUUUACCAACAGACUUAUCUUUUCAGAUGAAGUAUGAAGUGUGAGAACACAGAAACAAAAACACCCUUUUCAGCAGAUGCCUCCCAACAGAUGCAUCCCUUCCUUAUACCUAUUGCGAACAGGUAUAAUCACAGUAUAUAUACAUCCAUCUGCAUGGCAUUUAGAACAAAGAAAAAAUCAUAAAUCUUCUCUUGCAAUCAUAAACAUCCUUUCUGAGAGAACCACAUUAAUAUUCGCCAGAAGUCAAUUUUCAGGUAUUGGAAUUUUUGACUUAGAUUGUUGAAUCCUGAUGAAGCAGAUGUCCGUAGAACUACAAGCACUGAGUAGGGGCGAAAUUUCUGUUUCAAGGACAUUGCGGUACGCAAGCCUCGAUCUUUUAUUACUCUGCUUAAUUAAUAUUUCAUCUUGUUGAGUCUCUGGAAUAUAUUUAUUCGUAUUUAUUAUUAGCAUAUUUAUUUUAUUACGGAUUGUUGACAUAUAUCCUACAACUUCACUAGUCAAGGUUCAAGAUCCACAAGCGAUGAUUUCAUCGACGACUCUCAAAGACACAAAUUUUCUUCUCUUUGAGUUUUUGUGCAGCAAAAAAACCCCAAGUUUCUCCGUCAAUGAAUUGACAAUCAAAUUAUUCGCCUUGAAUCACACCGACCUCCAUCUUCUGCGAACAAAGGUGUGUACUGUUAUCUCUGAUAAUAUUUUAAAAAGAAGUUUCUUCGCUUACGAGAAUUCCUUAUAAUAAGAACUUGUUCAUUCAUUGCCUGCUUAAAAAUAGACAUAGACACGGAAGCAAGGACGAAUCAAAUAAAAAAAAAUUCCAAUUUUUGUCUCUUCUUCUCCUACUGAAUCAAACUUUUUCAUCGCUUUGACGACUAUUAAUUUUAGUGAGAAACGGUUAGAAAUGAUAUUUAUAAUGUUAGAUUACUUUCUACUUAAUUAGUUUGGCUUCUUUGACAACUCUUAAUAUUAGAAACACUUACAAACACCUCAUUAUUAGUGUUAUAAGAGCCGAAUGUCGUAAAGUUUAUUCUAUUUUGUUUUGUUGUUGUUCAAAAUGGAGUUGAAUGUUUUUUUUUUAACCACGAAUAUAUUUUGAGGAACUUAUUUGUAAAGACGUUUCCGAAUUAAUUAUAAAGCAGUUCAGUAAUUGACUAACUUCAUGUAAUAUUUCAGCUGGUAGAAAGCAGCAAUUCCAACUCAUCGAUACUUAUAACUGGACAGUCUUUUGGAGGCUGUGUAGCUACCCUUUUCACCUUAUGGCUGCUACAAAGCCUCAACUUGUCGAAAGCAAAGCGUCCCCUUUCCAUCACUUACGGUUCACCCUUGACCGGUGACAAACAACUCCGACAAUGUGUGUUGCAAUUCUCAACAUGGAGUUCUUGCUUCUUGAAUGUAGCCUCUAUCAACGAUCCUGUACCUAAAGCCUUCCUAACCGCUUCGCAAGCGAGUGAUUACAAGCCCUUCGGAACAUUCCUAUUGUGCUCCGCUUCGGGUGGUUCUUGCCUUGAGGACCCUGAUGCCAUUUUGCUGGAAUAUUUGAUUUGAUUUGAUGAUGAUUCAGAGAAUGGUUCUGCACAAACCUGUUUAUUUUUGUCUCUUGAUUUUCUUUUACUUUAUUUAAUCCCAAGAUUGGAAAUAAACACGGGUGUGCUGGGGGCAAUCACAUUCUACUAACUUUUUUCGCAAAUCAUUUUGUAAAAGUCAUUGCAGCAGCAACAUCCCGACAUAAAUUUCGGCAAUCUGAUGCAAAACAUGGUAACCAAAGAAUGUAAACAAGCGAUCGACAAGGCGAAGGCUUACAGUUCUUUCUUGAAAUUGAAUGAGAAUAGAGAGUACAUGGCCAGCAUGGAAUGGUACAGGAAGGAGUCCAAAGAGAUGGGAAUUGGAUACUAUGACAGGUACAGAAACAAGCUUUACUUAAGUGACAUUAUGGCCACAGAUUACAAGAAGAAGCUCUCGAACUACUGGGAGGACACGGUUGCAGAAGUUGAGAGCAAUCCCCAGAAAGAAGGAGCCGCAAUGCGUACUCGUUUCCUAUUUGGUGGAACGAAUUACAGAAGGAUGAUCGAACCGCUUCACAUUGCCGAGUACUACAAGGAAGGUGGAAAAGAUUACAUAAAGGAAAGGCCUCGACAUUUCAUUCUGUUGGAGCAAUGGUUCAAUGAAGACGAGGAAAAGAAGAAGGCAGAGAGAGAGAAGAAAGAAAGGGAGAACCCCCAACUGCGCAGCGAUACCAAGUCGAACUCAAAAGCGAAGAAUGUGGCUUCUAGUCUCAAUGAUGAUUCUUGUUUUUGCGUGCACGUUGAGGAAGCGCUUAUCUUGUACAAUGAACAAGCGAGUAAUCCAGAUGCCAAGCAAAAGUUGAUUGACUUUGAGCAUUACGUGCUGAAUAAUCUCGAGAAGUUUGCAGUGACGCUUGAUAUUUUCUUGGCCCAAAGCAGCUACAUGCAGUGGUGGAACAAGUACGAAAAAAGGGUGGGAAAUGACUAUUCCUCACCACUGGCCAAGGUCAUGAAGCGUCGCACUUAUACCAAGUAUGCAGAGGGGGUCUCGGUUCUUGCUGAUAUAUAAUGCAAGAUAAUUAAGUUUUAAGCAAGCAAUUAAAUCAGAUAAAGCAAGAUUAGUUAUGCUGUAUUGCUCAUGAUCUUCAUAGAGAAAGA
rnacentral:lncRNA from 1 species